rnacentral:rRNA from 2 species
AAGCCCCGCUUGGCGGCGUGCCUAUACAUGCAAGUCGAACGAACUCUGGUAUUGAUUGGUGCUUGCAUCAUGAUUUACAUUUGAGUGAGUGGCGAACUGGUGAGUAACACGUGGGAAACCUGCCCAGAAGCGGGGGAUAACACCUGGAAACAGAUGCUAAUACCGCAUAACAACUUGGACCGCAUGGUCCGAGCUUGAAAGAUGGCUUCGGCUAUCACUUUUGGAUGGUCCCGCGGCGUAUUAGCUAGAUGGUGGGGUAACGGCUCACCAUGGCAAUGAUACGUAGCCGACCUGAGAGGGUAAUCGGCCACAUUGGGACUGAGACACGGCCCAAACUCCUACGGGAGGCAGCAGUAGGGAAUCUUCCACAAUGGACGAAAGUCUGAUGGAGCAACGCCGCGUGAGUGAAGAAGGGUUUCGGCUCGUAAAACUCUGUUGUUAAAGAAGAACAUAUCUGAGAGUAACUGUUCAGGUAUUGACGGUAUUUAACCAGAAAGCCACGGCUAACUACGUGCCAGCAGCCGCGGUAAUACGUAGGUGGCAAGCGUUGUCCGGAUUUAUUGGGCGUAAAGCGAGCGCAGGCGGUUUUUUAAGUCUGAUGUGAAAGCCUUCGGCUCAACCGAAGAAGUGCAUCGGAAACUGGGAAACUUGAGUGCAGAAGAGGACAGUGGAACUCCAUGUGUAGCGGUGAAAUGCGUAGAUAUAUGGAAGAACACCAGUGGCGAAGGCGGCUGUCUGGUCUGUAACUGACGCUGAGGCUCGAAAGUAUGGGUAGCAAACAGGAUUAGAUACCCUGGUAGUCCAUACCGUAAACGAUGAAUGCUAAGUGUUGGAGGGUUUCCGCCCUUCAGUGCUGCAGCUAACGCAUUAAGCAUUCCGCCUGGGGAGUACGGCCGCAAGGCUGAAACUCAAAGGAAUUGACGGGGGCCCGCACAAGCGGUGGAGCAUGUGGUUUAAUUCGAAGCUACGCGAAGAACCUUACCAGGUCUUGACAUACUAUGCAAAUCUAAGAGAUUAGACGUUCCCUUCGGGGACAUGGAUACAGGUGGUGCAUGGUUGUCGUCAGCUCGUGUCGUGAGAUGUUGGGUUAAGUCCCGCAACGAGCGCAACCCUUAUUAUCAGUUGCCAGCAUUAAGUUGGGCACUCUGGUGAGACUGCCGGUGACAAACCGGAGGAAGGUGGGGAUGACGUCAAAUCAUCAUGCCCCUUAUGACCUGGGCUACACACGUGCUACAAUGGAUGGUACAACGAGUUGCGAACUCGCGAGAGUAAGCUAAUCUCUUAAAGCCAUUCUCAGUUCGGAUUGUAGGCUGCAACUCGCCUACAUGAAGUCGGAAUCGCUAGUAAUCGCGGAUCAGCAUGCCGCGGUGAAUACGUUCCCGGGCCUUGUACACACCGCCCGUCACACCAUGAGAGUUUGUAACACCCAAAGUCGGUGGGGUAACCUUUUAGGAACCAGCCGCCUAAAGGUGAACAGGUAUAGGG